GGCAAGAUGGCGGAGUGGUUAACGCGCGGGCCUGCUAAGCCCGUUCCCUCGGGAGCGAGAGUUCGAAUCUCUCUCUUGUCG
rfam:Ophiostoma piceae TAMH 11346 chromosome Tnknown scf01, whole genome shotgun sequence.